GACAGAGGGUGCAAACGUUGUUCGGAAUUACUGGGCGUAAAGCGCGUGUAGGCAGCUCGGAAAGUCGGGUGUGAAAGCCCUGGGCUUAACCUAGGAAGUGCACUCGAAACUUCCGAGCUUGAGUUCUGGAGAGGAAGGCGGAAUUCUCGGUGUAGAGGUGAAAUUCGUAGAUAUCGAGAGGAACACCGGUGGCGAAGGCGGCCUUCUGGGACAGUGACUGACGCUGAGACGGACGAAAAGCGUGGGGGAGCAAACAGGG
rnacentral:rRNA from 1 species